AAAAAUGAGCAAAAGCCGAGAAAGUGAAAGUUACUCUAAAGAAUGGUGUGGCAAGAGUAAAAGGGUUCACAAAGAAAAGGUCAAAAGUGGAGAAAGAGGAGUUGGCUGUUGUUGACAAGUCGUUACAAAGGGUGGAAGAAGAAGCUCAGCGAAUAUAUAAAGACGAGCAUGGUGUGCUUCUUGAUGAUGAAGCAGCUUCAACUAGAGAUGC
rnacentral:lncRNA from 1 species